AGAGUUUGAUCAUGGCUCAGGACGAACGCUGGCGGCGUGCCUAAUGCAUGCAAGUCGAGCGACGCAUACGGGGCUUGCCCUGUAUGACGGAGCGGCGAACGGGUGAGUAACACGUGAGCAACCUGCCCCGAAGACCGGGAUAGCCCGAGGAAACUCGGAUUAAUACCGGAUACCUUCACACCUCCGCAUGGGGGAGUGAAGAAAUGCCUUUGUGCUUCGGGAUGGGCUCGCGGCCUAUCAGCUAGUUGGUGAGGUAACAGCUCACCAAGGCGUCGACGGGUAGCUGGUCUGAGAGGACGAUCAGCCACACUGGAACUGAGACACGGUCCAGACUCCUACGGGAGGCAGCAGCAGGGAAUAUUGCACAAUGGGCGAAAGCCUGAUGCAGCAACGCCGCGUGAGGGAUGAAGGCCUUCGGGUUGUAAACCUCUUUCAGGAGGGAAGAAAUUGACGGUACCUCCAAAAGAAGCCCCGGCUAACUACGUGCCAGCAGCCGCGGUAAUACGUAGGGGGCGAGCGUUGUCCGGAUUUAUUGGGCGUAAAGGGCUCGUAGGCGGUUCAGUAAGUCGGCUGUGAAAGUCCGGGGCUCAACCCCGGAAAUGCACUCGAUACUGCUGUGACUAGAAUCAGGUAGAGGAGAAUGGAAUUCCCGGUGUAGCGGUGGAAUGCGCAGAUAUCGGGAGGAACACCAGUAGCGAAGGC
rnacentral:rRNA from 1 species